GAAAUGCGAUACGUAGUGUGAAUUGCAGAAUUCCGUGAACCAUCGAAUCUUUGAACGCAUAUUGCGCUCGACUCCUCGGAGAAGAGCAUGUCUGCCUCAGCGUCGGUUUACACCCAUCAUCCCUCUUACUCUUCAUUGAGUAAGCUUGCCGUGUUUGCUCAAACCGGCAUUAGGGGUGGAUCUGGCCCUCCCAAUCGAUGCAAAUUGAUUGGGUUGGCUGAAGCACAGAGGCUUAAACUGGGACCCGUAAGGGCUCAACUGGAUAGGUAGCAACACCCUUUGGGUGCCUACACGAAGUUGUGUCUGAGGACCUGGUUAGGAGCCAAGCAGGAAACAUGCUUCAUUGCAUGUAUCUCGUAUUCGACCUGAGCUCAGGCAAGGCUACCCGCUGAACUUAA
rnacentral:misc_RNA from 1 species